CAGCUUGCUAAUUGUGAAACACCACCUGCACAUGAAGGUCCGGAUGUGCAUCCCAGUAGUGGAGAGCAUGUAGUCAGUGGUGAGCAAGUGGAGCGUGAUCUGGGUACACAACCUCAAGAACGUGAUGUUCCCCACUCAGGUAAAAAGGACCGUUAUUUCUUUAAACAAAUAUAAUUGCAAUUGGUGUUCAGCAUUAAUGUAACCUUUAGUAUUUCAACUCCAGAUGAUCUAGAGGGUGUUCAGCAUGUUGAGGUUGAGGCUACACAAAAUGAUGUGGCCCCAUCAGAGGACCCCCCUUCGCUUCAGUGUCCUCAUCCUUAGUAUAGGACUAGGCAUACAUUGAGAUCACGAGAAGUUGGAGGAACAUCUGCAGAGGGGGGAAAUGAUGAAGAAACCGAUGUUCCACUUAGUCUUUUCAUAGCUUCAAAGA